AGUGAACGCUGGCGGUAGGCCUAACACAUGCAAGUCGAACGGCAGCACAGGAGAGCUUGCUCUCUGGGUGGCGAGUGGCGGACGGGUGAGGAAUACAUCGGAAUCUGCCCAGUCGUGGGGGAUAACGUAGGGAAACUUACGCUAAUGCCGCAUACGACCUUCGGGUGAAAGAGGGGGAUCGCAAGACCUCUCGCGAUUGGAUGAGCCGAUGUCGGAUUAGCUAGUUGGCGGGGUAAUGGCCCACCAAGGCGACGAUCCGUAGCUGGUCUGAGAGGAUGAUCAGCCACACUGGAACUGAGACACGGUCCAGACUCCUACGGGAGGCAGCAGUGGGGAAUAUUGGACAAUGGGCGCAAGCCUGAUCCAGCCAUACCGCGUGGGUGAAGAAGGCCUUCGGGUUGUAAAGCCCUUUUGUUGGGAAAGAAAUCUUUCAGGCUAAUACCCUGGGAGGAUGACGGUACCCAAAGAAUAAGCACCGGCUAACUUCGUG
rnacentral:rRNA from 1 species